rnacentral:rRNA from 1 species
GAUGAACGCUGGCGGCGUGCUUAACACAUGCAAGUCGAACGGAAAGGCCAGUGCUUGCACUGGUACUCGAGUGGCGAACGGGUGAGUAACACGUGGGUGAUCUGCCCUGCACUUCGGGAUAAGCCUGGGAAACUGGGUCUAAUACCGGAUAGGACAAUGGUUUGGAUGCCGUUGUGGAAAGUUUUUUCGGUGUGGGAUGAGCUCGCGGCCUAUCAGCUUGUUGGUGGGGUAAUGGCCUACCAAGGCGUCGACGGGUAGCCGGCCUGAGAGGGUGUACGGCCACAUUGGGACUGAGAUACGGCCCAGACUCCUACGGGAGGCAGCAGUGGGGAAUAUUGCACAAUGGGCGCAAGCCUGAGGCAGCGACGCCGCGUGGGGGAUGACAGCCUUCGGGUUGUAAACUCCUUUCGCUAGGGACGAAGCGUAUUUGUGACGGUACCUGGAGAAGAAGCACCGGCUAACUACGUG